rnacentral:lncRNA from 1 species
ACAACAGACUUUUGUAUUAUUUUGUGUUCUCCUACUGUAUUUGUUUCUUUUGACAGAUUCUGUACAAAGCUAUUUUGGAGCAGAGCGAACUGGAAUCAUCAAACAUGACUCAAACGCAAAGGUUAAGUUCAUCCGCCUCACAAUCUCCGCAUCAAAGUGACACUUCAGAGCUCAAGGUGGGUUGAAUGGAAUAAUAUUAAAAUGUCAACAGGUGUAGAAUGUAAAACAUACAUUUGAAAGUGCAUUGG